GGCAUAUUAGUCUAAUGGCUAGGACACAACACUUUCAAUGUUGGGAUGGCGAGUUCAAUUCUCCCAUAUGUCACCA
rnacentral:tRNA from 1 species